rnacentral:tRNA from 1 species
GCCACUGUAGCUCAGCUGGUAGAGCAAUACUUUCGUAAAGUAGAGGUCGGCGGUUCGAUUCCGCCCAGUGGCU